UUAUGUUAUAACCUUAUAGCAUCUUCCUGCUCACCGUUUCAACCUCUCUCUAUCUGCUCUCAAGCUCUCUCUCUCUCUGCUCUUAAACUCUCCCUCUCAGUGCUGUCUCACUCUCACUCUCACUCUCACUCUCGUCUCAGUACUCUCACUAUCACUCUCCCUCUCAGGUCUAUCAGUUCUCUCACUCUCACUAUCCCUCUCAUCGACCCCCGCUCUCAAACAUAGCAACACUCUCACUCUGCAAUUAUGGCUCCCCGAUAGAUCAUGAGCCACCGGUCUGCUUCAUAUUCGGCUCAGACUGAGCAGUUGGCCCGCAGUGGUAUUGUGGUGGCCAGCGGUACCCAUACACCGAUUGCGAAGUCGGCAGCAAGCACCAAUUCGACCACACUAUUGCCACCCAUUCGUUCUGUCAGGCGACUCCACAGCACCCGUCGCCACCAGCCGCUCCCAGCACCCCUCGCUAUCACUUCAUCCUCUCUGGUAGCGUAGAGGUUAAAUCGGCCCCGAUGGAUGGAGACGAGACUAGAGGACAACUCCCUACCGGCCUAAGGAAUAAGAAGACUCCGCGUAUUUUCUGGGCUUGAAGAUAAACCAGAUCACUUGAACCACCUAGACCCUGAUCCAGAUUGUAUACCACCCCAACCAGCGCCGAACCUGUGCCAAUGUCAACAGUUUGUUGACUCACAACUGCUGAGCCAUCAUCCGUAGCAAACGCCCCAUGGACGUUGAUUCAUUGAUUUCACAUAGGUAGGAGGUUCGUCGAGAGAUGUACCGCUAGCUUUUGGUAAAUACUAGCCUCUCCGCACUGCACUAACGUGCGCGCCAUGCGUGCCAGAGGCAUUUUUGCAUCACGUAUUUGCAUCACGUACGUGCCCUAAAAGUGUAUUCUAAAAGUGUAUUGUGCUAGUUUUUUUUUUCAUUGUAGUUGUCAAAAUAUAUUUUAAAUGUAUUGUGCAAAGAGGAAUUUUUUCUUUACCAUGCACGUCCUAAAAAGUUGUCAUGUUUUUCGUUUUUAUUUUACGUAAAGUAAUGAUUUAAAUGUUA